CCCACCUUCCCCACCAGAUGGUACAUUUGUUACAACGUCCCUACACUGACACAUCAGCUUGCAUUUAGCCCAGUGAGGUCUAUGUUGGUCUUCAGACCUACAGACUGUGAGAUAAUAAUGGAUGUUGUUUCAAGCCACUAAAUCUGUGCUAAUUAUUUUGUGGCAGCAACAGACAACAGAUACUCCACCUCAUACUGCUGUGAGCCUGCAGACCCUCCCAGGAGAAACCCGUCCGGCAGGAAUAAAAGGCGUGAUCAAUGACCAGGCUUCAGAAUGAACAGUUUCCAAGGGAAUAACCUCGAGAAGGGAGUGAUGACAGCUCUCAGGUCACCGUGAAUUUAAACCCACAGAAAGUAAACAUCACUCAGCCGAGCUGGAUUCCUUAUGACCCCAUAGACAGUAAGUAGCUUGCCAGGCCCCUCUGUCCAUGGAAUUCUCCAGGCAAGAAUACUGGAGUGGGUUG
rnacentral:lncRNA from 1 species